ensembl:snRNA
GUGUUGUAUAAAAGGCAAGGUUAGCACUCCCCUUGAUAAGGAUGGAAGAGGUCUGUUGGGGCAUUGCUACCUACUCCAUGGCAUCUAACCAUGGUUUUGU